CUCUCCGGGGAUCAACGGUAACUAACUGCUAUGGUGGCAGCAGCCUGGCAGGAGAACAGGAAUGACCUUUGACCGCGGGGAUCUGUGAGCAGCCACCGUCCUUUGCCAAGUGGUGACCCCUCAGCUUUAGCCAACCGUGCCUAAGCUGAGAAGACAGAGUGAGGAAGUGAGGCCUCGGUGUGUGGAAGGAGACCACAGAGCUCACAGUCUACUGGCGUUUCUACUCCCCGAGUAUUUUCCUGUAGCUGCUGUAAAG